rnacentral:rRNA from 1 species
UACGUAGGGUGCGAGCGUUGUCCGGAAUUAUUGGGCGUAAAGAGCUCGUAGGCGGUUUGUCGCGUCGGCCGUGAAAACUUGGGGCUUAACCCCAAGCCUGCGGUCGAUACGGGCAGACUUGAGUUCGGCAGGGGAGACUGGAAUUCCUGGUGUAGCGGUGGAAUGCGCAGAUAUCAGGAGGAACACCGAUGGCGAAGGCAGGUCUCUGGGCACUUACUGACGCUGAGGAGCGAAAGCGUGGGGAGCGAACAGG